CGCGUUGGGAGCUCUCCCAUAUGGUCGACCUGCAGGCGGCCGCGAAUUCACUAGUGAUUAGAGUUUGAUCCUGGCUCAGAACGAACGCUGGCGGCAUGCCUAAUACAUGCAAGUCGAACGAGACCUUCGGGUCUAGUGGCGCACGGGUGCGUAACGCGUGGGAAUCUGCCCUUGGGUUCGGAAUAACUUCGGGAAACUGAAGCUAAUACCGGAUGAUGACGAAAGUCCAAAGAUUUAUCGCCCAGGGAUGAGCCCGCGUAGGAUUAGCUAGUUGGUGGGGUAAAGGCUCACCAAGGCAACGAUCCUUAGCUGGUCUGAGAGGAUGAUCAGCCACACUGGGACUGAGACACGGCCCAGACUCCUACGGGAGGCAGCAGUAGGGAAUAUUGGACAAUGGGCGAAAGCCUGAUCCAGCAAUGCCGCGUGAGUGAUGAAGGCCUUAGGGUUGUAAAGCUCUUUUACCCGAGAUGAUAAUGACAGUAUCGGGAGAAUAAGCUCCGGCUAACUCCGUGCCAGCAGGCGGGUAAUACGAAUCGAA
rnacentral:rRNA from 1 species